rnacentral:rRNA from 1 species
UAACGCGUGAAGUAGACCGCCUGGGGAGUACGAUCGCAAGAUUAAAACUCAAAGGAAUUGACGGGUCCCCGCACAAGCAGCGGAGCGUGUGGUUUAAUUCGUUGCUACACGAAGAACCUUACCUGGGUUUGACAUAGCAGUGGUAGGGAAGCGAAAGCGGACCGACCCUUCGGGGAGCUGUUACAGGUGUUGCAUGGCUGUCGUCAGCUCGUGUCGUGAGAUGUUCGGUUAAGUCCGCUAACGAGCGCAACCCUCGUGAUGUGUUACAAGUGUCACAUCAUACUGCCGGUAUUAAGUCGGAGGAAGGUGAGGACGACGUCAAGUCAUCAUGGCCCUUACGGCCAGGGCUACACACGUGCUACAAUGGGGCGUACAGAGAGCUGCAAUACCGCGAGGUGGAGCAAAUCUAUAAACCUGGUCUCAGUUCGGAUUGUAGUCUGCAACUCGACUACAUGAAGCUGGAAUCACUAGUAAUCGUAGAUCAGCUAUGCUACGGUGAAUACGUUCCCGGGUCUUGCACUCACCGCCCGUC